GUGAGGGGCUUGCCUCAGGAAGAAACGGGUGAGAAAGGCUUGAGAGGAACUGUCCCUGAAGCAGCUCUUUCUGGCAAAACACAGCCGCGAUGAAAUGGGUCUGAAGAACUUGGAAUGCAAAGUAUCCCAUUUGGGACACAGAGCUCAGCACGGGCGGAGAUCUGCCUGCUGUGUGUUCACGGUGGGUGUUGACAGAAGGAAGGGGAUUGAUGAAGCUUCACCCUCAAGGGAAAGACAAGGAGCAGAAGGUCCAUGCCAGGAACCAUUACGGGAAGAAAAUUAAAGACUGUCCACCAACAGUAACUGCAAAAGCUGCCCAGCCAUCAGGCUCAAAAAGUGAAAAGGAUCCUGUAUCAGCCUUCGUGACAAUGAGAAACUGCGUACCAGCAUCCACCAAUCAUCAGGACAUAGCCUUUCAGGUCAGGGAAGCCAUAAGAGAAGAGGUGACCUAGUAGUCCCAUCACUCAGUAGAAGACACAAGAACCUGGAAAGCCAGCUAGCGCUCCUCAGCUAGGGACUAUAAAGACAAGAAGGAGGAGGAGGAAGAGGAAGAGGAGAAGAAGCCCUCAGAGACCUCAAUUUCAUGUUUAAGAAUCAUCAAGAAGGGCUUAGGAUUAGGGUCUGGUAAGGGUCUAUAUGUACCAUGUUGGUCCGUGAAGGAGACAAAAAGAGGCCCCUGAAACAUCCCAAGAAGCAGGCCAAGGAGAUAGAUGAGGAAGAUGAGGCCUUCUAGCAGAAACAAAAAGAGAAGCAGAAGAAACUCGAGGAGCUAAAAGCCAAUGCCACAGGGAAGGGACCCCUGGCAAAGAAUUAAGAAAUCUGGCAAAAACAGAAAAAAUGGGAGUUCUGGGUUCAGAGAGAGAUACUACCUUAAAGAAACAAGAUGAAGAAUGAUGGAAAGGCACGCCCGACAUUCCCCCUCUGUCCUCCACAUGUUCACACAGAUGUAUGGAACUCACACACACCACAAGCAAACAUGAGUUUACUACUGUCAAGUUUCACAGAGCUAGAGAGAAAUUUGAAGAUGCUACUCUGAGGACUCUGAAAAUGGAGGAAGAAACCAUUAGCCAAGGAAGGUGAACAGUACCACUCAGAGGCUGGAGGGACAAGGUCACAGAUUCCAGGAGCCUACAAAGAGCAAAGCCUUGCCAACAGCUGGAUCUGUACAAAUGAAGGUGACUUCAGAGUUCUGGUAUUCAUAAAUGUCACAGAACAAACACGGAUUCCCUCCCUUGAUGUGGUGGCAACUGAGAAACAAUGAUCAGAAGAAUUCUACACAUCUGACAUACUGACACAGUCUGAGAGACCACACUCAAAGCCUCUGGAAUGAUGGCUGCUAACUUUGACACUCACUGCUUGCACCUGGUGGAAGGGACCACAGCUCCCGAGGGUCGGAAGAACACUUCUUUUUUGCUUUGUUCCAGAACCAUCAGUGGGUUUUGUUGUUGUUUUUGUUGUUGGUUGCUUUGUCUUUUUUUUUUCAUUUUUACAGGAAUAGUCCAUAAAUUAAAAUUAAGUCACCCUAAAUUCUUAUCAUUUUUCUGGCUUUCUUAGAUUCCUAGCAGGCUCUACAUGUAAAAGCCAGCUGUUAAAGAAUAUUUCUUUUAUUCAAACAACAUGAAGUUCUCUUGAGUCAAAAAGUUAUCACACUCUCAUUUCAGAAAAAAAAGUAUUUGACCUAGAAAUUGGAAUGUAUAAGCCUCCUAGUCUUCCCACAAAGGAUAUAAUACCUGGUUUCUCAAUGACAA